UAUUAUUAUUACUCUCAAGUACAAAUUUUAACCAAUUCUCUUCACCUCGGUAAAGGUGGAUGGGACAUAGUAACAUACUCGAGUAUCAUCUGGUUAAUGCAUCUAUCUGUUAAUUAUACAAUGCUAGUCUACUGCAGAGAACUCAACCUAGAUCAGGAAGAGCGAUUUUGGGCGAAGAUGAUUCAUUAAAUUGUGAAACCACCAGAUAAUGUGCAAAAGCAAAAAGCAGUUUGCUUAAAGAAAAGAGUGAUUGAAGUAUCUGAUAAAGCGUGAAACACAACAGAGCACCCACAACCUCCCUGGUGAAUCACCAAGGAACAAAACUAACACCCCUGUGUAUGCAGUUGUCCAACCACUUUCUUCCUCUGACUUCUGUAGCCACUGUCAUAUCUACCAUAUCCCAGAGGAACUUUUUUGGUGGCCCCAUUCAUGAUUCUCAAGAUUCAAGGGCUAUCUCACAAU
rnacentral:lncRNA from 1 species